rnacentral:rRNA from 1 species
GAUGAACGCUAGCUACAGGCUUAACACAUGCAAGUCGAGGGGAAACGGCAUUGAGUGCUUGCACUCUUUGGACGUCGACCGGCGCACGGGUGAGUAACGCGUAUCCAACCUUCCCAUUACUGUGGGAUAACCUGCCGAAAGGCAGACUAAUACCGCAUAGUCUUCGUUGACGGCAUCAGAUAUGAAGUAAAGAUUUAUCGGUAAUGGAUGGGGAUGCGUCUGAUUAGCUUGUUGGCGGGGUAACGGCCCACCAAGGCUACGAUCAGUAGGGGUUCUGAGAGGAAGGUCCCCCACAUUGGAACUGAGACACGGUCCAAACUCCUACGGGAGGCAGCAGUGAGGAAUAUUGGUCAAUGGACGUAAGUCUGAACCAGCCAAGUAGCGUGCAGGAUGACGGCCCUAUGGGUUGUAAACUGCUUUUGUAUGGGGAUAAAGUCAGUCACGUGUGAUUGUUUGCAGGUACCAUACGAAUAAGG